GAACGCUGGCGGCAUGCCUUACACAUGCAAGUCGAACGGCAGGCACGGGAGCAAUCCUGGUGGCGAGUGGCGAACGGGUGAGUAAUAUAUCGGAACGUGCCCAGUCGUGGGGGAUAACGUAGCGAAAGUUACGCUAAUACCGCAUACGAUCUAAGGAUGAAAGCGGGGGACUCGCAAGAGCCUCGCGCGAUUGGAGCGGCCGAUAUCAGAUUAGGUAGUUGGUGGGGUAAAGGCUCACCAAGCCAACGAUCUGUAGCUGGUCUGAGAGGACGACCAGCCACACUGGAACUGAGACACGGUCCAGACUCCUACGGGAGGCAGCAGUGGGGAAUUUUGGACAAUGGGCGCAAGCCUGAUCCAGCAAUGCCGCGUGCAGGAAGAAGGCCUUCGGGUUGUAAACUGCUUUUGUACGGAGCGAAAAGGCCCUCUCUAAUACAGGGGGUUCAUGACGGUACCGUAAGAAUAAGCACCGGCUAACUACGUG
rnacentral:rRNA from 1 species